rnacentral:rRNA from 1 species
UACGUAGGUGGCAAGCGUUGUCCGGAAUUAUUGGGCGUAAAGCGCGCGCAGGCGGUCGUUCAAGUCGAGUGUGAAAGCCCCCGGCUCAACUGGGGAGGGUCACUCGAUACUGAUCGACUCGAAGGCAGAAGAGGGAAGCGGAAUUCCCGGUGUAGUGGUGAAAUGCGUAGAUAUUGGGAGGAACACCGGUGGCGAAGGCGGCGACCUGGGUUGACACUGACGCUGAGGCGCGAAAGCGUGGGGAGCAAACAGG